CAUAAACCGGUGGAGAGAAAACCAAACAGACCCAAUGAAACCUAAGCAUGUCCUCCCCCACCGCACCCCUAUCCUCGCCUCUUUCCUUCCCUGCCUGCUGCCCUCCCUACGGCAGCUCCUCUGCUUCGGCCCGGCCCUCCAUGUAUGUGCCGCCGCGCCCCCACUCACCCCCGUCGUCGCGGCCACAGGGCCUCGCCUCGCCCGCCCCGCCCAAUGCCGACGCUGAUUCCGGCACCACGCACCCACGGCACGACGCCACGCCUCGCUCGCCUUCGUCGAGGCCGUGCGAUGCAGCCCAAGCACGGUGUGUCUCGGCCUUGGCCAACGCGCUCGGCCAUGACUAGCAGCGACUCAUGAAGCGCUUGGGCACACGGGCUGCGGUCAAGCGGCGGUAGCGUCGCAGGGGCCAUGUGGAAGCCGGGAUGAGGACGGACACUUCCAGAUCAGGUGCUCGCACCUGAUCUUGAUUUCUGUGGUCGUGGCGGUUGAAGAUUGAGCAUUGGACGGAUGCAUCUAGAUCAGACCUGUCCUAUAUGGCCGAGCAAGAUCGAGGACGACUGCCGAUAAUGUUCUCCUCGUGUGCAAGCUCCGCACUGCACUGAAGCAUCCGACACAUGCUUAUUCCUUUGAAUGAUCUGAGAAAUAUAUUUGGAUCAGGGAAGCAUGAAGCACAAGCAAUCAUCUCAGAUAUCGAAUCUCAAGCAUACAGAAAUAGGCUUGCAAAAUUCUUUAGUACUGAUUUAGUUGUUGCUCCUAACAAAGCCUCCAAAAUCUCUGCGAAGAGUUAUAGUAUGAUCCUGAACUUGCGAGCAAGAUGCAUAAAGGCUCCUGGACUGCCGCGUGGUCACAGUGAAGAUGUGACACUUGUGGUUAUCUUUAUGUGGCAUUGAUGGUCAGAGAAACAAAACAAAGCUGGAGUGUGGUAAUAGCCAGGGACAUGUACCCAACUGUGAUGUCACCUUGGCCAUGCCCUUCUUUGUGAACUAUUAUGUAUGAAAUAUCCAGAAAAAGCUUAUCAAGACUAUUGAUAGUGCUUCUCUACUGCUCGAGUAAGGUAGUAAACGGUGAGAUGAACGCCGCCCAUGUUGUCGUCUCAGCCAUGUACGCCACUCUUAACUGAAUAUCAAGUCUGUGAUGUCACCUUGGCCAUGCCCUUCUUUGUGAACUAUUAUGUAUGAAAUAUCCAGAAAAAGCUUAUCAAGACUAUUGAUAGUGCUUCUCUACUGCUCGAGUAAGGUAGUAAACGGUGAGAUGAACGCCGCCCAUGUUGUCGUCUCAGCCAUGUACGCCACUCUUAACUGAAUAUCAAGUCUGUGAUGUCACCUUGGCCAUGCCCUUCUUUGUGAACUAUUAUGUAUGAAAUAUCCAGAAAAAGCUUAUCAAGACUAUUGAUAGUGCUUCUCUACUGCUCGAGUAAGGUAGUAAACGGUGAGAUGAACGCCGCCCAUGUUGUCGUCUCAGCCAUAUGGACAUAAUCUAAGGAUGGGAUCCACUCGCCUCAAGAAGGACGAUGACCACAACGAGUACCACCAUUGAACUGAAGGAGCCAGGGUGCAGGCGUUCCUUGAGAUAUUUCCAGUGGCCCCGCAGCCGAAGAAGCCGAAGUGGGUGGUAAGGAACGGGUGCUGUAAGCUAGACAAGGGGCCAAAAUAUGUUUCCACUGUAGGCACAUGUUGGUAGCAGAUAAAGUGUGCGAAAAAGCACUCGAAGGCCAUUACCUUCAGUUUUAGUAAGAGGGAAACAAUUGUGUAGAAUGUCCUCUUGUUUGAUCUGAUAUAUGCCCAAGAGAUUAGCAGUCCUUGAUUUGAUUAUGUGCCAAUCAUUAAAGCAAACAAGGAGUGAAGUAUUAGGAGAACUUCACCUUUUGAGCACCAAGGAUGUCUCAUUGAUUACAAUGUUGAUCAGGUUGCUUAGAAGAGAUAUGAGCAGAAGUAUUAUCAUUUGUGAAUACUCUUUUCGAGUGAGAUGAGCAGCAGUAGCAAGAUAGAUAAUAAUGUUAAAGU